rnacentral:rRNA from 1 species
AGUGAACGCUGGCGGUAGGCCUAACACAUGCAAGUCGAACGGCAGCACAGUAAGAGCUUGCUCUUACGGGUGGCGAGUGGCGGACGGGUGAGGAAUACAUCGGAAUCUACUUUUUCGUGGGGGAUAACGUAGGGAAACUUACGCUAAUACCGCAUACGACCUACGGGUGAAAGCAGGGGAUCUUCGGACCUUGCGCGAUUGAAUGAGCCGAUGUCGGAUUAGCUAGUUGGCGGGGUAAAGGCCCACCAAGGCGACGAUCCGUAGCUGGUCUGAGAGGAGGGUCGCCCGCACGGGAGCGGGAACGGGGACAAGAGUCCUGAGGGACGCACCAGAGGGGUAUGGGGGGCAGCGGGGGCGAGCAUUGCACAACGGGCGGGCGUGGGAGAAAGCGACGUUGGGUUUGGAAUGCCGUUUUUUGGGGAAAAAAACGCAGUAGCUUAUGACCAAGCGUUAGUGACGGUACCGAAUAAAGAAGCACCGGCUAACUACGUG